AACCAGCUCUUCAAGUGGUCGGGAUGAUUAUUGGGCUUAAAGUGUCCGUAGCCGGUUUAGUAAGUUCCUGGUAAAAUCAGGUAGCUUAACUAUCUGUAUGCUAGGAAUACUACUAUACUAGAGGGCGGGAGAGGUCUGAGGUACUAUAGGGGUAGGGGUGAAAUCUUAUAAUCCUUGUAGGACCACCAGUGGCGAAGGCGUCAGACUGGAACGUGCCUGACGGUGAGGGACGAAAGCCAGGGGAGCGAACCGGAUUAGAUACCCGGGUAGUCCUGGCCGUAAACGAUGCAUACUAGGUGAUGGCCCGGCCAUGAGCCGUGUCAGUGCCGUAGGGAACCGUUAAGUGUGCCGCCUGGGAAGUACGGUCGCAAGGCUAAACUUAAGGAAUUGGCGGGGAGCACCACAAGGGGUGAAGCCUGCGGUUC
rnacentral:rRNA from 1 species